rnacentral:tRNA from 1 species
GGUUGUGCUCAGUGGCAGGGUGCUCACCUAGCACGUGCGAGGUCCUUGGUUCGAUUCUCAGCACCA